CCACCCAGCCCCUCCCUGCCCCCAGCUCUGCUUCAGUUUGGCCCCCAGUUGUGUCCCUGGCUCCCAGCCCCGUGUGCACCUCACCCUGUCCCCAGCCUUGGCUGCUGGCUGCAACUCCGUUCCUGGCCUGUGGGAACCACCAAUUUUGAAGGAACUCAAUGAACAAUACUACAAAGAGUACAUUUUUACAAACACUGCUGUUGGUCACCCCAUCAGGGUUGCUAUAAACAUUUUUUUUGGCAUUGUCUUAUUCACCCCCCAAAAAACCCCCAACAUAUUAUUCCAGGUAAUAAUACUAAAAUAUGGGAUAGUAAACCAAAGUAAUUACAGCUAAAAUCAAUGGCAAAUUGAGGAAGGAACAUACAUAGAGACCUGUCCAAAGGAAAGUUUAUGGCAUAAUUUAUUUUCUUUCAUUUGACCUGGAUAUUUGCAACAAAAAAAAAAUUGGAUUAGAACGUAGUUUCACCAGACCAUUCACAAACCAAUAGAUCUGAUGGAUUGGUUAGUAUUUUCAUCCAAAGGUAAUUUUAGGGUGGGACAAUUACAGUAGUAAAGGCAAGUAGAAUGCAUCAUGCCAGAAGCUGCAAAUUGGUUCUAAAUCUUCAAAGUCAAAGUCUUUUUACCAUAUCAUAUGUAAAAUGAAAAAUAAUUAUAUCAAUUCACUGUGAUAGUCUCCUCCUUAUGCCUUUUUGAUUCCAUAUAACCUGUAUCAGUCAAGACAUUAUGUUUACUUUUUUUCCCGCACAAACUAAUCAAUCAUCAUUUGUUACAGAGCAUUGCAGAAGUUGGUUGAUGACACUGGAAGUAAUUGGUAUGAAUUUCUUGAUGACAUUUUGUUUUCUUUUAAACCAAACAUGACAACAAAAAUGUCACCCUUUCGACUACUGUAUGCCUUUGAAGUAAAAUUUCCAGACCAAGUCUCAGAAAAUUACACAGUAAUUGUAGUUAAAUACCAUCAGCUUUUAUGUAAAGAAUCAAAGAAUAACAUAUUCACCAUUUGUUUACAAAGCCACCAAUUUUCAAGGAACUCACUGAACAAUACUACAAAGAGUACAAAAUAAAUUUGAAAUCUAGAAAGGAUGCUGACAUUGCACUGGCUCCUAGUAAUAUUUCUAAAGCACAAGAAAUACACCAAAUGCAAUAUGCUAGAAGAAAGUUAUAAAUAUGGGAACAUAACAUUUGAGGUUGGGGACUGUAUUAUGUUACUGAAUGCGAGAAAGAGAACAAGAAAGGAAGGUCCGCUGCAACCUACCUAUUAUGGACCAUACAAAAUUACCAUUUUUGUAGGUAAGAGUUAAACUGGAAACCAUCCAGGGAAACUUUUAGAAUCUGUGUAUAGUAUCUUCCACUUAAAAUCCUUUAAAGAGCCACCAACAUUAGGGUGCUGAAAACAGAUCAGAGGAAAACAUGGAAAUGGAGACUGCUGUGGGUGACAUUGAAAAAAUUUAAUGUGAAAAUGGCAACAUUCACUAUGGUGAAACAGAAAAAUGAAACUGUAUUACCAUGCAUAUAAUAUGUAUUUUUUUCUAGUAAAAUUUGUACAGACACACAAGGUUACACUGAGACUGGAGGCCAAGGUGAGAAAAAUCAGUUUGUAUGACUUUUCAUUUCAUGGCCUGAAGCCAAGAAGCUGGCUGGGUGACUAGGUAAAUUUAACUAGCAGUAAAUUUGGGUGGUGACUGGAUUGAGUCAUCAAAUAUUUUUGAAAUUUUAACGAUUCUUUCAUCUGUUGUAGGUUGUUGAUACAUAUUUGUGUUAUGUGAUCGAGAAAGCAAGUGGACUGGUAGGCCACUUAUUGUGAUGCUACAUGGAAAUAUACAUAAUUAAACCAUCAAAUGAAUAUGUGGUAAAACAUAUUUAAGUCCAGAUAGCCUGGAAGUGUGAAUAUAAACCUCUAAUUGAAGCAUUUUGCUGUAGUUACUGCUGCCAAAUAUACUCAAAAGUAUUUUGAAGUGUAUAUACCUGAGAUAAAAUCCUUCACAUGUUGAAGGACAGCUUAGUUUUGCUAUACAGUUCAGUGGGGUCAUGACUUCAACAGUGGUUUGGACACUGGUUAGUCAGCUUUUAAAGUAAGUAAGUCAGAGCACAUGGGGGUCUUAAAAAUAAAAGGUUUUUAAUCCAUUUUAUGUAACUUAUUUGUAACCGUAUGAAUCCCUUCCAUGUAUGUAUCUAUGAACUACAUCACAUUCUUAGUGUGUCACAAGGCGUGAUCCAUUAAAAACUUGCUUGUUUGUCAGCAGGUAUGAGCCAUCUUUUCGGUAGUUUCCAAUAGCCUUCUGUCAGGUGGAGCAACACAAAUGCCACUGAAGAGUGGAAUUAUGCAGAGUGAUAUAUUAUUGCUUCCUUUCAACGCAUCAAAUCAGUGGGUUAUUGCGAUCCUUCAUCUACCGAAUAACUGGAAAAUCCACAGUGGAACUCUGGAAAACCUUGUGGAACACAAGAGACAAACUGAUGGGCACUACUGUGUGGACCACUCAUCCUAAAGAGAAUGUGGAGUACUGCAACUUUGUCACUUUCAAAAAAGAAAAUGAAGGUUGCAUGAUGAAAUCCAGUGUGACUCUUGUAAGAGGUGAGCACAUGUGCCCUGCCUUCCAGAGGGAACCAAUGAGGAGAACCUGAUUGAGAGAAAAUUCAGCUGCAAAAAGUGUGCAUAGGUCAGAUGUUUACAAAAAAUGUAUUUGUUUUGUGAAGAGAGAUAUUUUGGCUUUCCUGGAAUAACACAACUGGAAUAUAAAUGAGUAAUAGAGAAGUUUAAUUUCAACAAAGAAAAGUAUUAACUGUAUCUAUAAACAUGCUUAGAUGCGUUGUUUUUUUUUUGAAAAUGUUGAAAUGAAAAAUAAGCAAUUCUUGUUUACAUACCUUGUUAUAAUAAUAAAGCUUUUAAAUUUUGAAAAAUACCUCUUUGCCUACACUCACAGUGGCGAUUUUG